rnacentral:rRNA from 1 species
AUUGAACGCUGGCGGCAUGCCUUACACAUGCAAGUCGAACGGCAGCACGGGAGCUUGCUCCUGGUGGCGAGUGGCGAACGGGUGAGUAAUACAUCGGAACGUACCCAGGAGUGGGGGAUAACGUAGCGAAAGUUACGCUAAUACCGCAUAUUCUGUGAGCAGGAAAGCGGGGGAUCGCAAGACCUCGCGCUCUUGGAGCGGCCGAUGUCGGAUUGGCUAGUUGGCGAGGUAAAAGCUCACCAAGGCGACGAUCCGUAGCAGGUCUGAGAGGAGGAUCUGCCACACUGGGACUGAGACACGGCCCAGACUCCUACGGGAGGCAGCAGUGGGGAAUUUUGGACAAUGGGGGCAACACUGAUCCAGCCAUGCCGCGUGAGUGAAGAAGGCCUUCGGGUUGUAAAGCUCUUUCGGCGGGGAAGAAAUGGCAACGGCUAAUAUCCGUUGUUGAUGACGGUACCCGCAUAAGAAGCACCGGCUAACUACGUGCCAGCAGCCGCGGUAA